GGGAACCAUGCUGAGCAGAGCAGUUGCAAGCUGACCCUCAGAAGAGGUCACUACUUAAAAAUUGCUUAAAAAAAGAUCCUGUGAAUGAACACUCGAGGCUCUGAGUCUCUCCUGGUAACCUGUCCACCCAUGACCUCCCAGAACAUUCCUCGGAAGAACAAUGGAUCCCCCAAAAGGUGGAGCGGUGUGUCUGCCCCCUUUGCAUGAGAGCGAGUUCAAGUUGGGAUUGUGGCUUGGGUUGGUUCGUCUCAGUUCCGCAGUUAAGAAGUUUAAUGAAUCAUUAGCUACUGUUACGUCAGCAUUAGCCUAUGAAUAUCUUCCUUAUUUCUAAUGGUCUUGGCUUGUACACUCCUUCUCUACUGGUGCUUUUCAGGCUUUGGAUUUGAUUACUAAGAGUAGUUAGCAUCCUAGUGUUCUUUAUAAAUGUAAUUUGCUCUGG